ensembl:lncRNA
ACCUGGAUCUUCUCACUGAGAGGAGGCAGUGCUAACCACUACACCACGUUAAACGACCUGAUCGACACUAAAAACAAGAAACUAACUGAAGAAGUGGUCAGUCUGAGAAGCUACAGUAGAGACAGGAACUGGGAAGAGGCUGAAGAAGUUGCAGACGAAGCUGAAGAAGUUGAAGUUUCAGACGAAGCUGAAGAAGUUGCAGAAGUUGCAGACGAAGUUGCAGAAGAAGUUGCAGAAGUUGCAGACGAAGCUGCAGAAGUUGCAGACGAAGCUGAAGAAGUUGCAGACGAAGCUGCAGAAGUUGCAGACGAAGCUGCAGAAGUUGCAGACGAAGCUGCAGAAGUUGCAGACGAAGCUGAAGAAGUUGCAGAAGUUGCAGACGCAGUUGAAGUUGCAGACGAAGUUGCAGAAGAAGUUGCAGAAGUUGCAGACGAAGCUGCAGAAGUUGCAGACGAAGCUGAAGAAGUUGCAGACGAAGCUGCAGAAGUUGCAGACGAAGUUGCAGAAGUUGCAGACGAAGCUGAAGAAGUUGCAGAAGUUGCAGACGCAGUUGAAGUUGCAGACGAAGUUGCAGAAGAAGUUGCAGAAGUUGCAGAAGAAGUUGCAGAAGUUGCAGACGAAGCUGCAGAAGUUGCAGACGAAGCUGAAGAAGUUGCAGACGAAGCUGAAGAAGUUGCAGACGAAGCUGAAGAAGUUGCAGACGAAGCUGCAGAAGUUGCAGACGAAGCUGAAGAAGUUGCAGAAGUUGCAGACGCAGUUGAAGUUGCAGACGAAGUUGCAGAAGAAGUUGCAGAAGUUGCAGACGAAGCUGCAGAAGUUGCAGACGAAGCUGAAGAAGUUGCAGAAGUUGCAGACGCAGUUGAAGUUGCAGACGAAGUUGCAGAAGAAGUUGCAGAAGUUGCAGACGAAGCUGCAGAAGUUGCAGACGAAGCUGAAGAAGUUGCAGACGAAGCUGAAGAAGUUGCAGACGAAGCUGCAGAAGUUGCAGACGAAGCUGCAGAAGUUGCAGACGAAGCUGAAGAAGUUGCAGACGAAGCUGCAGAAGUUGCAGACGAAGCUGCAGAAGUUGCAGACAAAGCUGAAGAAGUUGCAGACGCAGUUGAAGUUGCAGACGAAGCGGAAGAAGAAGCUGCAGAAGUUGCAGACGAAGCUGAAGAAGUUGCAGACAAAGCUGAAGAAGAAGCUGAGGAAGUUGCAGACGCAGUUGGAGUUGCAGACGGAGCUGCAGAAGUUGCAGACAAAGCUGAAGAAGUUACAGAAGUUGCAGACGCAGUUGCAGAAGUUGCAGACGAAGUUGCAGAAGUUGCAGACAAAGCUGCAGAAGAAGUUGCAGAAGUUGCAGACGCAGUUGAAAUUGCAGACGAAGUUGCAGAAGAAGUUGCAGAAGUUGCAGACGAAGCUGCAGAAGUUGCAGACGAAGCUGAAGAAGUUGCAGACGAAGCUGAAGACGUUGCAGACGCAGUUGAAGUUGCAGACAAAGCUGAAGAAGAAGCUGAGGAAGUUGCAGACGCAGUUGAAGUUGCAGACGGAGCUGCAGAAGUUGCAGACGAAGCUGAAGAAGUUGCAGAUGAAGCUGAAGACGUUGCAGACGCAGUUGAAGUUGCAGACGCAGUUGAAGUUGCAGACAAAGCUGAAGAAGAAGCUGAGGAAGUUGCAGACGCAGUUGAAGUUGCAGACGGAGCUGCAGAAGUUGCAGACAAAGCUGAAGAAGUUGCAGAAGUUGCAGACGAAGCUGAAGAAGAAGCUGAGGAAGUUGCAGACGCAGUUGAAGUUGCAGACGAAGUUGCAGAAGAAGUUGCAGAAGUUGCAGACGCAGUUGCAGAAGUUGCAGACGAAGUUGCAGAAGUUGCAGACACAGUUGCAGAAGUUGCAGACGAAGUUGCAGAAGUUGCAGAAGUUGCAGACGCAGUUGAAGUUGCAGACGGAGCUGCAGAAGUUGCUACAGGGAUCAUCUGA